CGCCGCGUGAGUGAAGAAGGUCUUCCGAUUGUAAAGCUCUGUCCUUAGGGAAGAACCGUGGGUAUAGUUAAUGAUACCCACCUGACGGUACCUUUGGAGGAAGCACUGGCUAACUACGUGCCAGCAGCCGCGGUAAUACGUAGAGUGCAAGCGUUGUCCGGAAUUAUUGGGCGUAAAGGGUACGCAGGCGGAUAAUCAAGUCAAGCGUGAAAGGUGUCGGCUUAACCGACAGACUGCGUUUGAAGCUGGUUAUCUUGAGUGUAACAGAGGAGAGUGGAAUUCCUAGUGUAGUGGUGAAAUACGUAGAUAUUAGGAAGAACACCAGUGGCGAAGGCGACUCUCUGGGUUAACACUGACGCUGAGGUACGAAAGCUGGGGGAGCGAACGGGAUUAGAUACCCCGGUAGUCCCAGCCGUAAACGAUGGAUACUAGGUGUUGGAGGUUCGAAUCCUUCAGUGCCGGAGUUAACGCAUUAAGUAUCCCGCCUGGGGAUUACGAUCGCAAGAUUGAAACUCAAAGGAAUUGACGGGGGCCCGCACAAGCGGUGGAGCAUGUGGUUUAAUUCGAAGCGACGCGAAGAACCUUACCGAGAAUUGACAUCCCGUGACCAUCUAUGAAAGUAGAAUUUGGCACUUAGUGCCACACGGAGACAGGUGGUGCAUGGCUGUCCUCCACUCGUGUCGUGGAGAGUUUGGGUAAAUUCCCGCAACCAGCCCAACCCCCGGUUUUUAGUUGCCAACCAGUAAAGUCCGGGAACUCUAAAAAAACUGCCGGUUAAAAUUCGGA
rnacentral:rRNA from 1 species